CCAUGAACAACGCAAAAAAACCAACAUUCUACUAAAAGCGUUCCUACAAAGGAAGGGAUCUAAAAAGAUUUUGUUCCCAUGAGGUAUGGAAAUCGUCAUAUAGAAUGGAGAUCGGAAUAUUUUCGUUGGUCUUGGGUGCAGUGCCAUUCCUGAUCUUUCAUGAAUGGGAUUGCAAUGAUCGACGGGACAU
rnacentral:sRNA from 19 species